AUUAGAGCUUGGAAAGGAAAUAAAAGUGUGCUGUGAAACGACGACGUGUGUAUAGUCACUCAAAGUCGAGAGACGCAGAGCAAAAGGGAGUGUUUGUGGAAGGUGUCGAUGGACGCCGUCGAAGCUCCCUCUCCUCCUUCUCAGCCUUCUUCCCAUUUCAGUCAACAACGCCAUUUCUAUGUUGCUGUGGACAGGCUUCAGUUCAAAAUGGAGACGUUGGUGGAUUUUUUAGGCGUGGCGGGACGGCGUCCAUGCCUGCCGAUGGCCGUGUGCUGUAGUUCCCGCGACGAGCUUGACGCAGUUUGCUCCGCCGUAUCCAACCUCCCCUAUAUUUCUUUGGCCCCUCUGUACAGUGACCUUGCUGAAGUAGAACGUGCUCUAGUUCUGGAGCAAUUUCGGAAAGCCACAAUGAACUGGAUCAAGAACAUCAGUGUUCAACCAGGAGAUGACAGUGAAAUUGAUAAAGAAGAACAAAAGUCCCAUAUGAUAGUUGUGACUGACGUUUGCCUCCCACUUCUUGCUUCUGGGGAAUUGCCCAUUUCUGCUCGUGUUUUGAUAAAUUAUGAAUUACCUACGAAGAAGGCCGGGCUGCGGUGGGUGCAGGAGGAAGAAACAUACCUUUGUGGAAAUAUACAUGAGGCGCACGACAACUUGCUUGGCAGCAGGUUCUUUUACCUAUGCCAUAAACAUUUUACUAGUCAGAUGGCAUGGAGGUAUGCACUCACAGUAACAUCGUAUAAAUAUCUGCAGAUGGGAUUGUAAUCAAUAUGGUGGUUGGGGGUGAAGUGGUGACUCUCAAAAGCAUAGAAGAAAGCAGCAAUCUUGUCAUAGCUGAAAUGCCAAUAAGUAUCUCUGAGAUUUUGUGAAAGAUGUUUGGUCUUUUGCAAUGCCAGAAACAUGUCAGGGGACUUUAUUCCAUGUACUCUCUUUCUAAUGGCUGAGGCACCUGCGAAUCGUAUUUUCAGUGAGGAGUUUUUGCCCUGAAUUGCUCAGCUUACUAAAAAUAGCCAAGAUUCUUGUACCUUUAAGUGAAUGAUCUGUUUGGUUAGCCAGAAAUAUGGAAACAAGAGAAAUAGCAAAAAUUUGAUCAA